rnacentral:rRNA from 1 species
GAUGAACGUUGGCGGCGUGCCUAAUACAUGCAAGUCGAACGAAGACUGUAGUAAUACUGUCUUAGUGGCGAACGGGUGAGUAACGCGUGGGUGACCUGCCCCGAAGUGUGGGAUAACAGUCCGAAAGGAUUGCUAAUACUGCAUAAUAUCCAAGAGAUUAGAUGCUUUUGGAUUAAAGGAGUAAUUCGCUUCGGGAGGGGCCCGCGUCCCAUCAGCUAGUUGGUAAGGUAAUGGCUUACCAAGGCGAUGACGGGUAGGGGACCUGAGAGGGUGGCCCCCGACAAAGUGGAACUGAAACACGGUCCAUACACCUACGGGUGGCAGCAGUAGGGAAUAUUAGUAAUGGGCGAAAGCCUGAACUAGCAACGCCGCGUGUGCGAAGAAGGCCUUCGGGUCGUAAAGCACUUUUUGAGAGGAUGAGGAAGGACGGUACUCUCAGAAUAAGUCUCGGCUAACUACGUG